rnacentral:rRNA from 1 species
UACGGGGGGGGCAAGCGUUGUCCGGAAUCACUGGGCGUAAAGGGCGCGUAGGCGGCUUGGUAAGUAGGGGGUGAAAUCUCACGGCUCAACUGUGAGGCUGCCUUCUAGACUGCCGGGCUUGAGCACAGUAGAGGCUGGUGGAAUUCCCGGUGUAGCGGUGGAAUGCGUAGAGAUCGGGAAGAACAUCUGUGGCGAAGGCGGCCAGCUGGGC